AGUACGGCUCAAUGGUAGAGUACCUGCCUAGCAAGCAUGAGUUCUGAGUUCAAUCCCCAGUACU
rnacentral:tRNA from 1 species